GACGAACGCUGGCGGCGUGCCUAAUACAUGCCAGUAGAACGCACAGUUUAUACCGUAGCUUGCUACACCAUAGACUGUGAGUUGCGAACGGGUGAGUAACGCGUAGGUAACCUGCCUGGUAGCGGGGGAUAACUAUUGGAAACGAUAGCUAAUACCGCAUAAUAUUGAUUAUUGCAUGAUAAUUGAGUUAAAGAUGCUAUUGCAUCACUACCAGCUGGACCUGCGUUGUAUUAGCUAGUAGGUGAGGUAACGGCUCACCUAGGCGACGAUACAUAGCCGACCUGAGAGGGUGAUCGGCCACACCGGGACUGAGACACGGCCCAGACUCCUACGGGAGGCCGCAGUAGGGAAUCUUCGGCAAUGGACGAAAGUCUGACCGAGCAAAGCCGCGUGAGUGAAGAAGGUUUUCGGAUCGUAAAGCUCUGUUGUAAGAGAAGAACGGGUGUGAGAGUGGAAAGUUCACACUGUGACGGUAUCUUACCAGAAAGGGACGGCUAACUACGUG
rnacentral:rRNA from 1 species